rnacentral:ncRNA from 1 species
CAACGCCCGUCGCUGUCCGUGGCUGAGCUGUCUCGUAAGGAAUGCAGACUACUGUAUUGAGGCUUUCGGGUCGCGAUAUGGCGGGAAACAGUUCAGUCGAAGUGGCUUGGACCAGGCAACAUUCGUAACAAGGUGUCUGCAGGUGAACCUGCAGGUG